UGGGGAAUUUUGGACAAUGGGGGCAACCCUGAUCCAGCCAUCCCGCGUGUGCGAUGAAGGCCUUCGGGUUGUAAAGCACUUUUGGCAGGGAAGAAACAGCCUGGGAUAAUACCCCGGGCGACUGACGGUACCUGCAGAAUAAGCACCGGCUAACUACGUGCCAGCAGCCGCGGUAAUACGUAGGGUGCAAGCGUUAAUCGGAAUUACUGGGCGUAAAGCGUGCGCAGGCGGUUCGGAAAGAAAGGUGUGAAAUCCCAGGGCUUAACCUUGGAACUGCACUUUUAACUACCGAGCUAGAGUACGUCAGAGGGGGGUAGAAUUCCACGUGUAGCAGUGAAAUGCGUAGAGAUGUGGAGGAAUACCGAUGGCGAAGGCAGCCCCCUGGGAUGAUACUGACGCUCAUGCACGAAAGCGUGGGGAGCAAACAGGAUUAGAUACCCUGGUAGUCCACGCCCUAAACGAUGUCAACUAGUUGUUGGGGAUUCAUUUCCUUAGUAACGUAGCUAACGCGUGAAGUUGACCGCCUGGGGAGUACGGUCGCAA
rnacentral:rRNA from 1 species